rnacentral:rRNA from 1 species
GCUUACGAUGCUUUUGGGAAACGCAGCCCUGGUUAGUACUUGGAUAGGAGACCGCCUGGGAAUACCGGGUGCUGUAAGCU